rnacentral:rRNA from 1 species
UAGGGAAUCUUCAAUGGACGGAAGUCUGACCGAGCAACGCCGCGUGAGUGAAGAAGGUUUUCGGAUCGUAAAGCUCUGUUGUAAGAGAAGAACGAGUGUGAGAGUGGAAAGUUCACACUGUGACGGUAUCUUACCAGAAAGGGACGGCUAACUACGUGCCAGCAGCCGCGGUAAUACGUAGGUCCCGAGCGUUGUCCGGAUUUAUUGGGCGUAAAGCGAGCGCAGGCGGUUAGAUAAGUCUGAAGUUAAAGGCUGUGGCUUAACCAUAGUAGGCUUUGGAAACUGUUUAACUUGAGUGCAAGAGGGGAGAGUGGAAUUCCAUGUGUAGCGGUGAAAUGCGUAGAUAUAUGGAGGAACACCGGUGGCGAAAGCGGCUCUCUGGCUUGUAACUGACGCUGAGGCUCGAAAGCGUGGGGAGCAAACAGGAUUAGAUACCCUGGUAGUCCACGCUGUAAACGAUGAGUGCUAGGUGUUAGACCCUUUCCGGGGUUUAGUGCCGUAGCUAACGCAUUAAGCACUCCGCCUGGGGAGUACGACCGCAAGGUUG